rnacentral:rRNA from 1 species
AUUGAACGCUGGCGGCAGGCUUAACACAUGCAAGUCGAGCGGGGAAAGGUAGCUUGCUACCUGACCUAGCGGCGGACGGGUGAGUAAUGCUUAGGAAUCUGCCUAUUAGUGGGGGACAACAUCUCGAAAGGGAUGCUAAUACCGCAUACGUCCUACGGGAGAAAGCAGGGGACCUUCGGGCCUUGCGCUAAUAGAUGAGCCUAAGUCGGAUUAGCUAGUUGGUGGGGUAAAGGCCUACCAAGGCGACGAUCUGUAGCGGGUCUGAGAGGAUGAUCCGCCACACUGGGACUGAGACACGGCCCAGACUCCUACGGGAGGCAGCAGUGGGGAAUAUUGGACAAUGGGGGGAACCCUGAUCCAGCCAUGCCGCGUGUGUGAAGAAGGCCUUUUGGUUGUAAAGCACUUUAAGCGAGGAGGAGGCUACCGAGAUUAAUACUCUUGGAUAGUGGACGUUACUCGCAGAAUAAGCACCGGCUAACUCUGUGCCAGCAGCCGCGGUAAUACAGAGGGUGCAAGCGUUAAUCGGAUUUACUGGGCGUAAAGCGCGCGUAGGUGGCCAAUUAAGUCAAAUGUGAAAUCCCCGAGCUUAACUUGGGAAUUGCAUUCGAUACUGGUUGGCUAGAGUAUGGGAGAGGAUGGUAGAAUUCCAGGUGUAGCGGUGAAAUGCGUAGAGAUCUGGAGGAAUACCGAUGGCGAAGGCAGCCAUCUGGCCUAAUACUGACACUGAGGUGCGAAAGCAUGGGGAGCAAACA